GGAUAAAUCCAAUAGUGGAGAAACUGCCAUACUCACUUCAGGAGAAGUGGGUCAUGGAAGGCUCGCAAUACAAGGAGAAAUUCAGGGUUUAUUAUCCUCCUUUUCAUUUCUUCCUAGAGUUUAUACGCAGGCAAGCAAAGGCACGCAACGACCCAAGCUUUAGCCUUCUCACCCCGACCACAGCAAGCAGGAAGGUCAGUGAAAGUCACAGUAGUAACACAAGAUCAGUCUCUGUGUAUAAAACUGACACUGCCCACUCACACUCCACCACUGCAAAUGAAGACCCAGAGAGACAGUGCCCUCUACAUCUCAAGCCACAUUCCCUGCAAGUAUGCCGGGGUUUCAGAGAAAUGACAAUUGAUGAACGAAAAAGGAUUCUACAGGAGAAGAACAUAUGUUUUAAGUGUUGUGCAUCAAACAAGCAUGUAGCCCGCAAUUGUGAGGUGGUAAUCAAAUGCACUGAGUGUGACAGCAAUAGGCACCCAACAGCGCUGCACCCAGGCCCAGCUCCAUGGAGCUCCACGAUCUCGCCACUCCCAUCAGAGAAUAGCGGGGAGAGCGAUUAAGUAUCAGACAUUGUUGUAGUGUAAAUAUGGCAUCAUUAAUGAUACCAGGCGGGGAGUGUUCUGGCUACGCCAGCCUUUAACAGGAAAACCCUUAUUUUGACAUAUGUUUACAUUUGUACUCCAGCUGCGAGACCUUAGAAUGCCCAUGGUUCUUUGACAGUUAUCUCAAGCGCUACAUGAAACCCACCAGUUUAACUUCUCGUUCCUUGAACGCAGCUAAAGGCAAUCUCUUUUCACAAUCAUCCAUAAACGACCAAACUUCA